GACGAACGCUGGCGGCGUGCUUAACACAUGCCAGUCGAACGGAAAGGCCCUGCUUUUGUGGGGUGCUCGAGUGGCGAACGGGUGAGUAACACGUGAGUAACCUGCCCUUGACUUUGGGAUAACUUAAGGAAACUGGGGCUAAUACCGGAUAGGAGCUCCUGCUGCAUGGUGGGGGUUGGAAAGUUUCGGCGGUUGGGGAUGGACUCGCGGCUCAUCAGCUUGUUGGUGGGGUAGUGGCUUACCAAGGCUUUGACGGGUAGCCGGCCUGAGAGGGUGACCGGCCACAUUGGGACUGAGAUACGGCCCAGACUCCUACGGGAGGCAGCAGUGGGGAAUAUUGCACAAUGGGCGGAAGCCUGAUGCAGCAACGCCGCGUGCGGGAUGACGGCCUUCGGGUUGUAAACCGCUUUCGCCUGUGACGAAGCGUGAGUGACGGUAAUGGGUAAAGAAGCACCGGCUAACUACGUG
rnacentral:rRNA from 1 species